rnacentral:misc_RNA from 1 species
AAGUCGUAACAAGGUUUCCGUAGGUGAACCUGCGGAAGGAUCAUUAUUGAAUGAAUGUAGAGUUGGUUGUCGCUGGCCCUCUUGGGCAUGUGCACGCCUUCUCUUUCAUCCACACACACCUGUGCACUUGUGAGACGGAGGACUUUAAUUAGUCUUCCGUCUACUUAAUCACACAAACUCAUUUAAUUAAAUUGAAUGUAAUUGAUGUAACGCAUCAUUAAAACUAAGUUUCAACAACGGAUCUCUUGGCUCUC